rnacentral:rRNA from 1 species
ACCUGAUCCAGCCAUGCCGCGUGAGUGAGAAGGCCUCGGGUUGUAAAGCUCUUUCGGCGGGGACGGAACGGUCCGUGCCAACACCACGGACUAAUGACGGUACUCGCAGAAGAAGCACCGGCUAACUACGUGCCAGCAGCCGCGGUAAUACGUAGGGUGCGGGCGUUAAUCGGAAUUACUGGGCGUAAAGCGUGCGCAGGCGGCUCCUUAAGUCAGAUGUGAAAUCCCCGGGCUUAACCUGGGAACUGCGUUUGAAACUGAGGGGCUUGAGUGUGGAAGAGGGGGGUGGAAUUCCAGGUGUAGCAGUGAAAUGCGUAGAGAUCUGGAGGAACACCGAUGGCGAAGGCAGCCCCCUGGGCUAACACUGACGCUCAUGCACGAAAGCGUGGGGAGCAAACAGGAUUAGAUACCCUGGUAGUCCACGCCCUAAACGAUGUCAACUGGUUGUCGGGGAAGCAAUUCCUUGGUAACGAAGCUAACGCGUGAAGUUGACCGCCUGGGGAGUACGGCCGCAAGGUUA